GAGAGAUAUUGGUCCCCAAAGAUUCGCCCCUUUUGAGAAGUGUGGGGUUUUGGGAGUUUCUACCUCCAUGGAAGCUUGAGGAACACUCAUUCCUCUAUUGUGUGAUCAUUGGUGGAUUGAGGCAAGAGGACCAAGUGGAGUGACCAACCCUUGGGGUUGUGUGCAAUUGAGGAAAGCUCAAAGAGCAAGGUACUGAUAGAGGUGAGGUUGAUCGAGGCAAGAAGCGUGAGUAGACUGUACCUGAUAGCUGGACAUGUUGAGUUGCAUGCCAUUUAGCAUUGCUAUAUGUAUAUUUUGAUGCCACAUGAUGUAUUUUGGAGGACUUAGUGCAUGAUCAUUGUAGUAGUAAUGGGUAUCUGAUACAGGGUUACUUGCUUUGAUCAUGUUCAUUUUGUAGCUAAGUCCUUUGGCAUGUAUAUGAGAUUUGUAAUUAAGACAUGAUGUAAUAUUGUAAGU